GGAUAAAGAUAGAAACCUAGCGCUUAUAACUUUACAUGUGAAUGGAUUAAAUAAUCCAAUAAAACAAAAGUUGGAAAUUGAGUAAGGAAAAAAAAAAUAGACAUCCCUUAAAGUCAAUAGGAAGCUGAUAAUGGACCUAGCUAGUAAAGUCCAACUCUCUACCUGAAAUACUGACAUCUCAAACUAUGAAUACUGUUAUUUAAAUAGGCAAAUUUUCCUUUAUUAUAUAAAUAUUUCCUUUAUUUCCUUUUAUUUCCUCACUUCUUCACUCUAAUAGAAACCUGUUUUCUUUGUGUUUAUGCUACAUGGUGGGUUCACUUUAUUGAACACGUACUAGUUGUGUUGUAAAAUAAUCUGGUUCCUUAAAAAAAAAAAAUCAGGUUUCUAAGUCAUGGUGAAUCAUUCACUCAGAGACAGCCCGAGUGGGUUAAUUAGAAACAGCUGAGGCAAACAAAAUGCCAUCACAUGCCUCCAGUAUAUAAGGCAAAAGAGAGAGCUGUUCCAGAAGAUCCCGAAAGGGGAGGUUAUUCCGGAGGAUGGGACAAAGCUCUGAAGAUACACAAAUCAGACCAAAAGAAUUUAAGAGAUCUCCUCACAGCUCCUAGUAAGAAGAGAGAUAACUGUGGACUUGAGAAUUCCACUGACAACAGGGGACAUAAGGAUGUCACAGCAAGUGGGAAGAUAAGAGAUAAGAGAUAAGACCUCCUUCAAAGAGGAGUCAGAGAGACCACUGGAUAUCCUGAAUGGAAUGAAGAAUAGCUGUCAUCCAGAGAAGUGUAUAUUUACCUGAUGUAGAGGUCUAGGGG